UACGAAGGGGGCUAGCGUUGCUCGGAAUCACUGGGCGUAAAGCGCACGUAGGCGGGUCCUUAAGUCGGGGGUGAAAUCCCGGAGCUCAACUCCGGAACUGCCUUCGAUACUGGGGACCUCGAGUCCGGGAGAGGUGAGUGGAACUGCGAGUGUAGAGGUGAAAUUCGUAGAUAUUGGGAGGAACACCAGUGGCGAAGGCGGCUACCUGGACCGGUUCUGACGCUGAGGCGCGAAAGCGUGGGUAGCAAACAGG
rnacentral:rRNA from 1 species